GAUGAACGCUGGCGGCGUGCCUAAUACAUGCAAGUCGAACGAAACUUCUUUAUCACCGAGUGCUUGCACUCACCGAUAAAGAGUUGAGUGGCGAACGGGUGAGUAACACGUGGGCAACCUGCCCAAAAGAGGGGGAUAACACUUGGAAACAGGUGCUAAUACCGCAUAACCAUAGUUACCGCAUGGUAACUAUGUAAAAGGUGGCUAUGCUACCGCUUUUGGAUGGGCCCGCGGCGCAUUAGCUAGUUGGUGAGGUAAAGGCUUACCAAGGCAAUGAUGCGUAGCCGAACUGAGAGGUUGAUCGGCCACAUUGGGACUGAGACACGGCCCAAACUCCUACGGGAGGCAGCAGUAGGGAAUCUUCCACAAUGGGCGAAAGCCUGAUGGAGCAACGCCGCGUGGGUGAAGAAGGUCUUCGGAUCGUAAAACCCUGUUGUUAGAGAAGAAAGUGCGUGAGAGUAACUGUUCACGUUUCGACGGUAUCUAACCAGAAAGCCACGGCUAACUACGUGCCAGCAGCCGCGGUAAU
rnacentral:rRNA from 1 species